CUCUACGAAAAAUACAAAAAUUAGCUGGGUGUGGUGGUGGGUGCCUGUAGUCCCAGCUACUUGGGAGGCUGAGGCAGGAGAAUCGCUUGAGCCUGUGAGGCAGAGGUUGCAGUGGGCCGAAAUCAGCCUGGGCAAAAGAGAGAUAUUCCAUCUCAAAAAAAAAAAAUCCAAUCAACUGGAACAUGUGGGAAAAUUCCCCUUUAAUAUAAAUGACAAAUUAUUGCACCCACACCUCCUACCACUAAGAAAGAGGCACUGUACUUGGUAGUCUUAUUUGGAUACUGGAUCAUUUAUUGAAUGACCUGGGAAGCU
rnacentral:lncRNA from 10 species